CUUCGGCCCGUAAACCCCUGUCAUUUGCGAACAAAUUGGUUCACCUAACACGUGAACCAUUGAUAGUAGCGGAAGAGGAAGGGACGGCUAACUCUGUGC
rnacentral:rRNA from 1 species